CUUUGUCUAAAUUCAAAGUGCCCUCUACUGUCAAAAAAGCGCACUACUCAGACAUAGAAAAUGACAAGUCUGAAAUCAAAAUCCAGACAGUGAGAGACAGAUGGAAGAAAACUACAAUAGAUAAUGGCACUGCUGCUCAGCCUGGGGCGAUUCAGUUUGGAAUGUUCCAUUGGGCUUCCCCUUUCUGUAUCUCUUCAGCUCCUCUGGUUGACUUUGAACUUUAGCGCACAUCAGAUGAAAUAAAUGAACAGCCAAACAAAUCAGCAUGAAAUGAAAGAAAGAAGCAGAACUCCU
rnacentral:lncRNA from 1 species